rnacentral:rRNA from 1 species
AAGUCGUAACAAGGUUUCCGUAGGUGAACCUGCGGAAGGAUCAUUAACGAGUUAGGGUCUUCUAGGCCCGACCUCCCAACCCUAUGUUUAUUAAACCUCUGUUGCUUCGGCGGACCCGUCUCACGACCGCCGGAGGAUCGCCGCGAGGNGNCCUCUGGCCAGCGUCCGCCGAUAGCCAACCACUUAACUCUGAAUGAAUCGUGUCAUUAUGUCUAAGUCUAUGAUUAAAUUAAAGCAAAACUUUCAACAACGGAUCUCUUGNUUCUGGCAUCGAUGAAGAACGCAGCGAAAUGCGAUAAGUAAUGCGAAUUGCAGAAUUCCAGUGAGUCAUCGAAUCUUUGAACGCACAUUGCGCCCUUUGNUAUUCCGAAGGGCAUGCCUGUUCGAGCGUCAUUAUCACCCCUCAAGCCCUGUGCUUGGUGUUGNACGGCCGGNCGAGCGAUCGANCCCUCCUNAAAGACAAUGACGGCGGCCUGUGGUUCCCCCGGUACACUGAGCUUCUCACCGAGCACGUAUCGGACAAGGGCACCCGGGACCCGGUCCUCUCCUUUCACAAAAGGAACUUUCUAUGGUUGACCUCGGAUCAGGUAGGAAUACGCGCUGAACUUAAGCAUAUCAAUAAGCGCAGGAAAAGAAACCAACAGGGAUUACCUCAGUAACGGCGAGUGAAGCGGUAAUAGCUCAAAUUUGAANUCUGGCCUCUUGGGNUCCGAGUUGUAAUUUGUAGAGGAUGUUUUGGGUACCGCCCCGGUCUAAAUUUCUUGGAACAGAAUGUCAAAGAGGGUGAGAAUCCCGUCUUGGACCGGCGGUAGGGCCUGUGUAAAACUCCUUCGACGAGUCGAGUUGUUUGGGAAUGCAGCUCAAAAUGGGUGGUAAAUUUCAUCUAAAGCUAAAUAUUGGCCAGAGACCGAUAGCGCACAAGUAGAGUGAUCGAAAGAUGAAAAGCACUUUGAAAAGAGAGUUAAACAGUAUGUGAAAUUGUUGAAAGGGAAGCGCUUGCAACCAGACUUGAGCGCGGCGGUUCCCCCGGUCUUUUGGCCGGGCUACUCCGUCGUGUCCAGGCCAACAUCGGUUCUGAGGGUCGGUCAAAGGCCUUGGGAAUGUAUCUACCCACGGGUAGACUUAUAGACCAGGGUGUCAUGCGGCCUCUCGGGACCGAGGAACGCGCUUCGGCUCGGAUGUUGGCGUAAUGGUUGUCAGCGACC